UACGUAGGGCGCAAGCGUUGUCCGGAAUUAUUGGGCGUAAAGAGCUCGUAGGCGGCCUGUUGCGUCCGCUGUGAAAUCCCGGGGCUCAACCCCGGGCCUGCAGUGGAUACGGGCUGGCUAGAGGCAGGCAGGGGAGAACGGAAUUCCUGGUGUAGCGGUGAAAUGCGCAGAUAUCAGGAGGAACACCGGUGGCGAAGGCGGUUCUCUGGGCCUUACCUGACGCUGAGGAGCGAAAGCGUGGGGAGCGAACAGG
rnacentral:rRNA from 1 species